rnacentral:rRNA from 1 species
GUGGGGAAUCUUAGACAAUGGGCGCAAGCCUGAUCUAGCCAUGCCGCGUGAGCGAUGAAGGCCUUAGGGUUGUAAAGCUCUUUCGUGGGGGAAGAUAAUGACUGUACCCCAAGAAGAAGCCCCGGCUAACUCCGUGCCAGCAGCCGCGGUAAUACGGAGGGGGCUAGCGUUGUUCGGAAUUACUGGGCGUAAAGCGCACGUAGGCGGACUGGAAAGUCAGGGGUGAAAUCCCGGGGCUGAACCCCGGAACUGCCUUGGAAACUCCCAGUCUUGAGUUCGAGAGAGGUGAGUGGAAUUCCGAGUGUAGAGGUGAAAUUCGUAGAUAUUCGGAGGAACACCAGUGGCGAAGGCGGCUCACUGGCUCGAUACUGACGCUGAGGUGCGAAAGCGUGGGGAGCAAACAGGAUUAGAUACCCUUGUAGUCC